rnacentral:misc_RNA from 1 species
AGAGAGAGAGAUGAUGGGGCUAUUAGGGGUUUGCAGUUCUCUUCCGGAUGCUAAAUCACAAGUAGAAUUAACCAAGAGAAAUAGUUCUUUAAUGGGAUUAGGAGACAAUUAUAACUCAUCAAGAACACAAAUAUCUGACAGUUGACAGGCAAAAGUAUCCAAAGACAGAAGGAAUUUAAUAGGAAAUUCACCUAAAAACUACAGGGUCACAAACAGUACCAAGACCUCUAA